rnacentral:rRNA from 1 species
AACGAACGCUGGCGGCAUGCCUAACACAUGCAAGUCGAACGAGACCUUCGGGUCUAGUGGCGCACGGGUGCGUAACGCGUGGGAACCUGCCCUUAGGUUCGGAAUAACUCCCCGAAAGGGGUGCUAAUACCGGAUAAUGUCUUCGGACCAAAGAUUUAUCGCCUUUGGAUGGGCCCGCGUUUGAUUAGCUAGUUGGUAGGGUAAAAGCCUACCAAGGCGACGAUCCAUAGCUGGUCUGAGAGGAUGAUCAGCCACACUGGGACUGAGACACGGCCCAGACUCCUACGGGAGGCAGCAGUGGUGAAUAUUGGACAAUGGGCGAAAGCCUGAUCCAGCAAUGCCGCGUGAGUGAUGAAGGCCUUAGGGUUGUAAAGCUCUUUUACCCGGGAUGAUAAUGACAGUACCGGGAGAAUAAGCUCCGGCUAACUCCGUG